rnacentral:rRNA from 1 species
UACGGAGGGGGCUAGCGUUGUUCGGAUUUACUGGGCGUAAAGCGCACGUAGGCGGAUGGUUAAGUCAGGGGUGAAAUCCCGCAGCUCAACUGCGGAACUGCCUUUGAUACUGGCCAUCUCGAGUCCGGAAGAGGUGAGUGGAACUCCUAGUGUAGAGGUGGAAUUCGUAGAUAUUAGGAAGAACACCAGUGGCGAAGGCGGCUCACUGGUCCGGAACUGACGCUGAGGUGCGAAAGCGUGGGGAGCAAACAGGAUUAGAAACCCCGGUAGUCC